rnacentral:rRNA from 1 species
UCCUUCGGGAUGUGAGUAAAGUGGCGAACGGGUGAGGAACACGUGAGAAACCUGCCCAGAAGUGGGGGAUAACACUCCUAACGGGGUGCUAAUACCGCAUGUGAUGUGAGUCUCGCAUGGGACACACAUUGAAGAUGGCCUCUACUUGUAAGCUAUCGCUUCUGGAUGGUCUCGCGUCCGAUUAGCUUGUUGGUGGGGUAACGGCUCACCAAGGCUACGAUCGGUAGCUGGUCUGAGAGGAUGGUCAGCCACACUGGGACUGAGAUACGGCCCAGACUCCUACGGGAGGCAGCAGUCGAGAGGCUUUGUCAAUGGGGGAAACCCUGAACAAGCGACGCCGCGUGGGGGAUGACGGCCCUUGGGUUGUAAACCCCUUUCAAUCGGGACGAAACCCUGGCGGGCGAAUAGGCCGCCAGCCUGACGGUACCGAUAGAAGAAGCUCCGGCUAACUCCGUGCCAGCAGCCGCGGUAACACGGGGGGAGCAAGCGUUGUUCGGAAUUACUGGGCGUAAAGGGCGUGUAGGCGGUUUGGUAAGUGAGGUGUGAAAGCCCCCGGCUCACCCGGGGAGGGUCAUCUCAUACUGCUGGACUUGAGUGCGGAAGAGGAUGGGGGAAUUCCUGGUGUAGCGGUGAAAUG